UAGUAAGAUGAAAAUCCGUUGACUUUUAAAAUCGUGAGGGUUCAAGUCCCUCUAUCCCCA
rnacentral:tRNA from 29 species